CUUCGCUGGUCAUCUUCCUCCUCCUCUUCGCCGGUGAGACCCAAUUUCAUGUCUAAAACAAAAUAAAAACACUGCAUAGGAAAGAGAGAGAUAAAAGAGUGAUGUGUAAUGUAAUAUUGAUAACCAAACCUUCUUAAAAAAGGUAACCAAAAUUUUAUACCAAGGUAACUAAAUCUUUAUACCAAGGUAACCAAUCUAUCUCCACACCUGCAGUAUGAAUUGGUUACCUUGGUCUGAAAG
rnacentral:lncRNA from 1 species